rnacentral:rRNA from 1 species
AUUGAACGCUGGCGGCAUGCUUUACACAUGCAAGUCGGACGGCAGCACAGAGAAGCUUGCUUCUUGGGUGGCGAGUGGCGAACGGGUGAGUAAUAUAUCGGAACGUACCGAGCAGUGGGGGAUAACUAAUCGAAAGAUUAGCUAAUACCGCAUAUUUUCUGAGGAGGAAAGCAGGGGACCAUUUGGCCUUGCGCUGUUUGAGCGGCCGAUAUCUGGUUAGCUAGUUGGUGGGGUAAAGGCCUACCAAGGCGACGAUCAGUAGCGGGUCUGAGAGGAUGAUCCGCCACACUGGGACUGAGACACGGCCCAGACUCCUACGGGAGGCAGCAGUGGGGAAUUUUGGACAAUGGGCGCAAGCCUGAUCCAGCCAUGCCGCGUGUCUGAAGAAGGCCUUCGGGUUGUAAAGGACUUUUGUCAGGGAAGAAAAGGGCGGGGUUAAUACCCUGUCUGAUGACGGUACCUGAAGAAUAAGCACCGGCUAACUACGCGC